rnacentral:rRNA from 1 species
CCUACGGGAGGCAGCAGUGGGGAAUAUUGGACAAUGGGCGCAAGCCUGAUCCAGCAAUGCCGCGUGAGUGAUGAAGGCCUUAGGGUCGUAAAGCUCUUUUACCAGGGAUGAUAAUGACAGUACCUGGAGAAUAAGCUCCGGCUAACUCCGUGCCAGCAGCCGCGGUAAUACGGAGGGAGCUAGCGUUGUUCGGAAUUACUGGGCGUAAAGCGUACGUAGGCGGUUAUUCAAGUCAGAGGUGAAAGCCCGGGGCUCAACCCCGGAACGGCCUUUGAAACUAGGUAGCUAGAAUCUUGGAGAGGUCAGUGGAAUUCCGAGUGUAGAGGUGAAAUUCGUAGAUAUUCGGAAGAACACCAGUGGCGAAGGCGACUGACUGGACAAGUAUUGACGCUGAGGUACGAAAGCGUGGGGAGCAAACAGGAUUAGAUACCCUGGUAGUCCACGCCGUAAACGAUGAUAACUAGCUGUCCGGGCACUUGGUGCCUGGGUGGCGCAGCUAACGCAUUAAGUUAUCCGCCUGGGGAGUACGGUCGCAAGAUUAAAACUCAAAAUGAAAUUGACGG